CAGCAGCCGCGGGAAUACGUAGGUGGCGAGCGUUGUCCGGAUUUAUUGGGCGUAAAGGGAGUGUAGGCGGUCUUUUAAGUCUGAUGUGAAAGCCCACGGCUCAACCGUGGAGGGUCAUUGGAAACUGGGAGACUUGAGUGCAGAAGAGGAGAGUGGAAUUCCACGUGUAGCGGUGGAAUGCGUAGAGAUGUGGAGGAACACCAGUGGCGAAGGCGGCUCUCUGGUCUGUAACUGACGCUGAGGAGCGAAAGCGUGGGGAGCGAACAGGAUUAGAUACCCCCGUAGUCCCUGUCUCUUAUAC
rnacentral:rRNA from 1 species